rnacentral:rRNA from 1 species
UACGAAGGGUGCAAGCGUUACUCGGAAUCACUGGGCGUAAAGCGUGCGUAGGCGGUUCGUUAAGUCUGUUGUGAAAGCCCUGGGCUCAACCUGGGAACUGCAGUGGAUACUGGCGAGCUAGAGUACGGUAGAGGAAGGUGGAAUUCCCGGUGUAGCGGUGAAAUGCGUAGAGAUCGGGAGGAACACCAGUGGCGAAGGCGGCCUUCUGGACCAGUAUUGACGCUGAGGCGCGAAAGCUAGGGUAGCAAACGGG